AAUCUGGAACUGGUUGCUGCGGAUGGACCUACUCCUUAGCAGCAGUAGGGAAUCUUCCGCAAUGGGCGAAAGCCUGACGGAGCAAUGCCGCGUGAGUGAUGAAGGUUUUCGGAUCGUAAAGCUCUGUUGCCAGGGAAGAACGUCCUUGAGAGUAACUGCUCAAGGAGUGACGGUACCUGAGAAGAAAGCCCCGGCUAACUACGUGCCAGCAGCCGCGGUAAUACGUAGGGGGCAAGCGUUGUCCGGAAUUAUUGGGCGUAAAGCGCGCGCAGGCGGUCAUUUAAGUCUGGUGUUUAAUCCCGGGGCUCAACCCCGGAUCGCACUGGAAACUGGAUGACUUGAGUGCAGAAGAGGAGAGUGGAAUUCCACGUGUAGCGGUGAAAUGCGUAAGAUGUGAGGAACACCGGGGCGAG
rnacentral:rRNA from 1 species